ACUGCCUGUGAUCUCUGAAACCAGCUCUGGGGCUCCCUCUUUGCUCCAAUAGACAGGAGCGACUUUGGGCUACAUAAUCAUCAAAUUCUUACCUCGCCCUUCACUGCUAGUAGGAUCAGAUUACAUUUCUUUCACUAUUCUCCACUCCCCAGUUUCUUGAUCUGUUUAAAAGAAGUAGAAAAGAUAAAUCUUCUCUUCAGUGCCUGGAAGGGAAAACAAAAUAACCUCAACUCCGCUUUGAAAAAAAUCUUUCCAAGAACUUUCUUCAGAGAUUUGACUCAAAUAAUUUCUACAAUGAAGAAAGAACAGAUUUUUUGGACUUCUGUGUAUCUGCUGCUUAACUGUGCUUCUGCCCCUCUUAGUGCUGUCGCCGAGGAUGCUGAGGAAUAUACAGAUGUCACAGAUGAUGGGUUACCACCACUGAAACUUGCACAUUCAUUUUGUGCUUUGAAAGCAGAUAAUGGCCCAUGCAGAGCAAUCCUUACGAAAUUUUUUUUCAAUAUUCACACUCAACAGUGUGAAGAAUUUAUAUAUGGAGGAUGUGAAGGAAAUCAGAAUCGCUUUGAAAGCCUGGAAGAGUGCGAAGAAAAAUGUAUAGGAGAUUAUGUAAAGACCAGGACAGAGACCACAUUAGAAAAAGAAAAGCCAGAGUUCUGCUUUUUGGAUGAAGACAGUGGAAUCUGUCGAGGUUAUAUGACUAGGUAUUUUUAUAGCAAUGACACAAAGCAGUGUGAACGUUUCAAGUAUGGUGGGUGCCUUGGCAAUCAAAACAACUUUGAAUCACUUGAGGAAUGCAAGAACACCUGUGAAGAUGCAGUGAAUGAUAACCAGCUGGAUAUGAUUGUGAAUAAUACAUUACUGUCUGAGACUACGGAGAGUAUAUUACCACUUUAUUCUACAACUAAUAUGUUACUGCCUGAAUCUGUGAAUAGUACAUUACCGCUUGAUUCUGUGAAUAAUGACUCCUUCACUCCCCAGCCUACCAACGUCCCUAGCUUUUUUGAUAUCAAAGUCUGGAUUUUGAGUAGAAUUUUACGGUCCUUCCUGGUGUCUGACCCCAGCAGACAGAGGAUUGUGUCAAGCCAAUGUGAGCCGAUUCUACUAUAAUUCAGUUAUUGGGAAAUGCCGCCCAUUUAAAUACAGUGGAUGUGGAGGGAAUGAAAAUAAUUUUACUUCUAAAAAUGCAUGUCUUAGGACUUGUAAAAAAGGCUUCAUCCAAAGAACAUCAAAAGGAGGAUUAAUUAAAACUAAAAGAAAAAGAAAGAAGCAGACAGUGAAAAUAGGAUAUGAAAAAAUUUUUGUUAAAAAAAUAUAAAUUUGGGGGCACCUGAGUGGCUCAGUCUGUUAAGCGUCUGAUUCUUGCUCUUGGCUAGGUCAUGAUUUCAUGGUUGGGGAGAUUGAGCCCCACCUUGGGCUCUGUGGGUCAGGUUCUGUGCUGACAGCAUGGAGCCUGCUUGGGAUUUUCUCUGCCCUCCCCCACUCACAUACUCUCUUUUUCUCUAAAUAAAUAAAUAAACAAAAUAAAUAAAUAAAUAAAUCUUACAUUGUUACAUUAAUUCUAAAUAUUUUGCAUGAAACUUUUCACUAUAAUUUUUAUUUUUUUUUCCUGAAAUCCUUUUAAUGAAUAUUUCCAUCAAUUUUCUAUGUACAAGUUAACUGCUAUUAAUACAUUUUUACCAGAAUUCAUUUCUUAAUCUAGUCAAAUUGCUUACUCAAGGACAAUGAUUUAUUAACUGGCUACUGUGAAUUUACCUAUUCUCUCAAUUCCUUUAUAUUUUUCAUUAACUACAAGCUAUCAUUUACUGGCCACAUCAAGACAGUCCAUUUUUCCAGUUGGUGAUUCUCUGUUUGAGAAUAUGUUGUCAUUUAUUUGUUUUGAUCAUGUGUAUGAUGAUCUUUAUAGUCUAUGCCCAAAUUGAUAAAUGCAGAUAUUAAGGAUCAAGCACUUUUUGGAUUUCACAUCAAACAUGGUGACAAGCAUUUGCUUCUAUAAGGAUCACUCAACUGUGCGAAAGCUGGUAAUACAAUUCUAUUAUGUGCUUCCCUCCAUAGACAUAAUUUUUCUCCUUUCUUAUAAACCAGUACCUCAAUCAAUCUUGAGCCAUACCAUUAUCUGAACAAAGAGAGUCAACUCUAUCAUGUGCCUGCCUGAUUUUGAUUGAUCUAACUAUUUUGUGUAUGUAUGUGUGCUUAUGACUCACUAUAUUAGUAAAAAUGGUUGAAUAGUGUUAUGUUAAGUACAGGUCAUGGUAAGAAGAAACUUGGUGGAAAGGAAAGUUUUUAAUGGCAAUCAAAAGUGAAUUGUGUUUAUAUACUUCCUAAUUUUAUUGUUUAACAAAAUUUUCUCUUACCCCAAAUAGCAAGAAUACUGAAUCCUACUGAAACUUAUUCAUUUAUCAUUAAGCUUUGCAUGCAAUGCAACCAAUAAGUAAGUCAUGGGGGAAGUAAGCUUCAGGGGGAAGAAAAAGUCAUGUUAUUUAUGUAGAAAAGGAAGGUCUACUACUGAAAAGUCUAUCAGCAAGGAAGAUUCCACUAGAAAAAUCUAUGUACUAUUCACUCUCAGGGUUUUAAAUAAUCUCUCCGUGGAGUUAAUUCACUUUAACCAGAUCCUUUUCUGCUGAUCUAUGUGCAGUCUGGCAUCUCAACAGACUCCUAGACAUUUCAGUUCCUAUAAUAUUCACGUCAAACUUUGCAUUUAAAUUUGAACUUGUCAUCUAGAAACAACUAAUCACUUCAUCCGCUUAGUUUAGCUUUAUGAUUUCUCUCUAGCAAUAGUAUUAUAAUUCUCUGUUCCUCUGACUUGAAAGUUUGACCCCAGUUUUGACUUUUUUCUCAUGUACAUAUCUGAUCAGUCUCUAAACACUAGUGCUUCCUUUUUCAUAAAGUUCAUCCAACUCCAGGGUUUUUGCCCCUACUGCAUUCUUCACAUCAGUAUUGAUUUAAUUCCUAAGAAUUAAUUCCUUAGAGCAUAUUUCUCCACCACUCAAAAUCCAUCAAGGACUCACUAGUUGGUACUUAACCCCACCCAUCCCCCACAAUUUUAUUUUGUUCUAUAUAUAUUACACUACUGCCCUCUUUCAUGACUAUUUCAAUUUAAUUAAGGGUAUAUACUGUUCACUAAAUACUCUUUAGUCAGCUUAUUCAUGCUGAUUUCCUACUUAAAAAUAUUAUCUUUUCCAGACUAUCCAUGUGAAGUCAGGGUUCAGCUGAUGUGAGCCAUAAAAUUACUCUGUUUUGUGGCUGAAUAUGAAGUACUAAGAUACAAUUACAAAUUACUUUCAUCCUAAAGCAUAAAAAUUAUAUUAUAAAAUAGUGUCAAUUUUUUUCACUUAAAAAUUUUAUAUCUUGAUUUCAAAUAUAAUAUAUACAUAAGUAACUGCCUUAGACUGGAUCUUUGUGUGGAAUUUGAGACUUGGAAAUCAAAAUCCCUGUGAAAUAUGCUUUGUAUCAUUAUACAUGGAGAGUAAUAACUUUAAAUAAACAAUAUGGUCUCCUAAGUUAACCUAUCUGCCACCAAGAACAUAGAAGUAGCACAUUAGUGAGUUGACGGUUUUCUCCAACAAUCAUUCACAGGUUCAUUACUUAACCAAGAAAUACUCACACUCAGAUGAUUUCUAAUUUUUAAUGCAUGAGAACAUUAUUUUUACUGUGUUUUAAAUAAGAAGCUCUCUGGUUGUAUUGUCUUACUUUGUGUUACAUAAUUAAAUACAUCUAACUGUGAAUUUUAUAUAGAAUUACUUUAUACAGCAUUUAUAUGUAUUUACCUACUUAGUUUUCUCUCUGUUCAAAAUUAAUGAAUCAUGCUGAAAACUGCCCAAAUGAUUUUAGUGUUUACAUUAUAAUAAAUAAAAUAUUCUGAAU